rnacentral:misc_RNA from 1 species
GGAUGGGCCAUUAUGUGAAGACCGAGCAUGAGAGUCUAACUAGGAAGUCAGUGAACUUGCUGGAGUUGAAAAAAAUCCUUCUUGUUCUCAUUAGUUUUAGAAGCAGAACACAUCGAUUGCCAACAGUUUGAGAAGUUUUGUACUUCAUUCUCAAAAAAAUGACACUUGAGAUAUGCUUGACAGUUUAACAUUGCAUGGUGUUUUGAAG